UACGUAGGGGGCUAGCGUUGUCCGGAAUCAUUGGGCGUAAAGAGCGUGUAGGCGGCCCGGUAAGUCCGCUGUGAAAGUCGGGGGCUCAACCCUCGAAUGCCGGUGGAUACUGUCGGGCUAGAGUGCGGAAGAGGCGAGUGGAAUUCCUGGUGUAGCGGUGAAAUGCGUAGAUAUCGUGAGGAAGACCAGUGGCGAAGGCGGAUCUCUGGACAGCUCCUGACGCUGGAGGCGCGAAAGGCUAGGGGAGCAACGGG
rnacentral:rRNA from 1 species